rnacentral:rRNA from 1 species
UACGUAGGUGGCAAGCGUUGUCCGGAUUUACUGGGCGUAAAGAGCGCGCAGGCGGUCGGAUCAGUCGAAUGUGAAAGCCCCCGGCCCAACUGGGGAGGGUCAUUCGAUACUGUCCGACUCGAAGGCAGGAGAGGGAAGCGGAAUUCCCGGUGUAGUGGUGAAAUGCGUAGAUAUCGGGAGGAACACCAGUGGCGAAGGCGGCUUUCUGGCCUGUUCUUGACGCUGAGGCGCGAAAGCUAGGGGAGCGAACGGG